AGUGAACGCUGGCGGUAGGCCUAACACAUGCAAGUCGAACGGCAGCACAGUAAGAGCUUGCUCUUACGGGUGGCGAGUGGCGGACGGGUGAGGAAUACAUCGGAAUCUACUUUUUCGUGGGGGAUAACGUAGGGAAACUUACGCUAAUACCGCAUACGACCUACGGGUGAAAGCAGGGGAUCUUCGGACCUUGCGCGAUUGAAUGAGCCGAUGUCGGAUUAGCUAGUUGGCGGGGUAAAGGCCCACCGAGGCGACGAUCCGUAGCUGGUCUGAGAGGAUGAUCAGCCACACUGGAACUGAGACACGGUCCAGACUCCUACGGGAGGCAGCAGUGGGGAAUAUUGGACAAUGGGCGCAAGCCUGAUCCAGCCAUACCGCGUGGGUGAAGAAGGCCUUCGGGUUGUAAAGCCCUUUUGUUGGGAAAGAAAAGCAGCAGGUUAAUACCCCGCUGUUCUGACGGUACCCAAAGAAUAAGCACCGGCUAACAUCGUG
rnacentral:rRNA from 1 species